UCUCCGUAGGUGAACCUGCGGAGGGAUCAUUACAGAGUUCAUGCCCUACCGGGUAGAUCUCCCACCCUAUGUUAUUAUUACUUUGUUGCUUUGGUGGGCCGUUAGGCUCCGGCCCGACUACCGGCCCCGGCUGGUGAGCGCCCGCCAGAGGACCCAAAACCCUGAAUAUUAGUGUCGUCUGAGUACUAUAUAAUAGUUAAAACUUUCAACAACGGAUCUCUUGGUCCUG
rnacentral:misc_RNA from 1 species